rnacentral:rRNA from 1 species
AACCAGCACCUCAAGUGGUCAGGAGGAUUAUUGGGCCUAAAGCAUCCGUAGCCGGCUCUGUAAGUUUUCGGUUAAAUCCAUGUGCUAAACGCAUGGGCUGCCGAAAAUACUGCAUAGCUAGGGAGUGGGAGAGGUAGACGGUACUCGGUAGGAAGGGGUAAAAUCCUUUGAUCUAUCGAUGACCACCUGUGGCGAAGGCGGUCUACAAGAACACGUUCGACGGUGAGGGAUGAAAGCUGGGUAGCAAACAGG